GCCUUCGUGGUGUAGUGGUCUUCAUGCACGACGCGUAACCGAGAGGUCCGUGGUUCGAUUCCCGGCGAAGGCG
rfam:Stegodyphus mimosarum contig22235, whole genome shotgun sequence.